rnacentral:rRNA from 1 species
GGCCAGCAGCCGCGGUAAUACGUAGGGGGCGAGCGUUGUCCGGAAUUACUGGGCGUAAAGAGCGUGUAGGCGGGUACUUAAGUCAGGUGUGAAAGACCGGGGCUCAACUCCGGGGUUGCACUUGAAACUGGGUGUCUUGAGGGCAGGAGAGGAAAGUAGAAUUCCUGGUGUAGCGGUGAAAUGCGUAGAUAUCAGGAGGAAUACCGGUGGCGAAGGCGGCUUUCUGGACUGACCCUGACGCUGAGACGCGAAAGCGUGGGGAGCAAACAGGAUUAGAUACCCUGGUAGUCCACGCUGUAAACGAUGGGCACUAGGUGUAGGAGGUAUCGACCCCUUCUGUGCCGCAGCUAACGCAAUAAGUGCCCCGCCUGGGGAGUACGGUCGCAAGGCUGAAACUUAAAGGAAUUGGCGGGGGAU